UACGGAGGGUGCAAGCGUUAUCCGGAAUCAUUGGGUUUAAAGGGUCCGCAGGCGGUUUGAUAAGUCAGGGGUGAAAGCCUACAGCUCAACUGUAGAACUGCCAUUGAUACUGUGAGACUUGAAUUCGAUCGAGGUGGGCGGAAUGUGACAUGUAGCGGUGAAAUGCUUAGAUAUGUCACAGAACACCGAUAGCGAAGGCAGCUCACUAGGUCUGGAUUGACGCUCAGGGACGAAAGCGUGGGGAGCAAACAGG
rnacentral:rRNA from 1 species